AGUAUAUUUAAAAAAUUAUUUUCUUUAACGGCAGCUCGAAGGCAACGCCAAACUGGAGCUUCAACGGCUGCGAAUUCCAGUCGCAGAAACUCCACAAAGCCAAGGCGGCAAGCGAAGCCCUCAUCCAUCCACCUCAUCGGAUAAAGCUUCUCAAUUCAAAUCUUCGACGACGACAUGAAGAUAAUGGGACAUGCAAUUCUCUCUCACUUUCUCCUCCUCUCCAACUCCCCUCCGUGCCUGGCCUCUUUACCGUCGCUUGAUGGAUUCCGACGAGAAUAUCUGCGAAGCUCGGAGCUAAUUCGUCAAAAUGCGCGAUGCUCUACUUCUUUCCGUUGCCACUCCAGUGUCUCACUCUCGGAGUCCGCUGCUUCGGAGAGUUCUUAGACCUCUGUAAAGUAAUUAUGCUUUUUGGAAAAAGAAACAAAAAGAAAAGAAUAAAGAAAGAACAGUAGAUUAAUACCAUAAUAUACGCAAUAAUUAUGGAGGGCUACAAGGGAUACAGCAGCAAUUUAUGUGGCAUGUGGUGUUGAUAUUUCCAAGUCUUAUGUACGUGCUCAUGUAGAACUAAUGUGGCUUCUAAGUUCUGCCACACCAAUUGGUUGGCUGAACAGAAUGAUUCAGUUUAAGGAGAAAUCCCGCAAGGUGGUAGGUCUACAGCACUAUGAAACUCAAUACCCAGCCACUUGGUGAUGAAAAUGUUGGGGUUGCUCUUUUGACUUAUCCUGUUCUGAUGGCAUCUGAUAUUCUUCUGUAUCAGAUGGUUUUUAGAACAUGCAGAUCUUUUGUAAUGCUAAAUUGCUAUUUGCUAAUGAGAAGAAUUUGUGUUUCUUCGACGUUUUUAUGCAAAUAUGUAGAUCUUUAAUAAUUAAUUUGUUUCUGCAGACAAAUAAUAGAAGGUAGCACUGGGAGCAAGGGAAUGGGUUUCCUAAAUUUUCAUUUAUUAUAUGAUAGUUAUUAAUAAUCUGAUAACAACUAGAUUGGGAUUAAGUUGUUGAAUUGAUUUGAUUGUUAGUGGUUAAUAAAGCAGUAUUGAUUAAUUAUUUAUCACAUCAAGACUUUCUUUGUGCUUAUUUACUUUUUUUUUUUUUUUUGAUGAAUCAUGAUAAAUUGAUAAUCGAAUAUGCACAAUCCUUGCAAUUUGCAGCACGCCUUUGCAAUCCGACUUUGUCCCAGUUGGUGAGGAUCAAAAGCAGCAUCUGGAAUUGACCUGUGAGCUAGCUGAGCGCCUUAAUUAUUUAUAUGGAGGAAGAAAGUGGAAAAAAAAUUUAGAAGGGUCCUGAACCCUGAUACCACCAGCUGAAGCCUGAUUUAUGUCUUUGACUGAUGGUCUUGCCAAGAUGUCCAAGUCUGUGCCUUCUGAUCAAUCUAGAACUAAUCUUCUUGACCCAAAGGUUGUGAGUUGUCACUAUUUGCCUUUAUAUGUAUUUCAUUUUGAAUGAUGCAUUGUUAAAUGUAAUUAAACAUUAGUAAAGUUACAAAAUCUUUUCUUCUCAGAGAGUUGAAGUAAUGGUGGCAUUGCACCAUUUUCUUUUUAUAUAUUUCAAAUUUUGAACAUCAAUUAAAACAUUAGUAAAGGUACGUGCUGUGCAAAAUCUUUAUUCACGGGGAGUUGAAGUAACUCUGGCAGGUUUGUCUGCGUGGGUAAAAAUUACAUCUCAAUCCUCCUGAACUCAACGGUUAAGUUGUAAGUUACAAUUUGUAAUUUUCAUGUGUGCAUUGCUGCAAAUCUCUAAGUAUACUGCCUUCUCUUCCUAAUAUUGAGUAUGUUCUGUGUACUUGAUGGUUAUGAUUUUUGAUAGCGGUAGAGUAUGAUAUUCUAAUUUUCAUGGGUAUUUGAAAAUUGAGUGUGUUUUGAAUAAUUAUACUGUUAUGAUAACAUUGAUAAAGUUCAUGUCAAAUCAAUGAGAAUUGUUAGGGAAAAUUAUCCUUUUGUUAUUUUUUUUAAAAUUUAUUUUACUAAUCUUGUUUGGAUAUCUUCUCAUUGUUAAUAUGUUAUCUUUUCCUGAGUUAUUAAUAGAAAAUGUAACUUUGCUAGUUUGGAAUUUCAGUGUUACCCAUCCUUGAAUUUGUGUAUCAAUUUGUUUUUUUUGCUGUCUCCAUCAGUUGAGGAUAUGUGUUUGUCCACGUGCUGGCAUGAUGCAACCACGCCAUUUUAACCAACUUCUGGGUUCAUUAUAGAGAAAUAAUAUCUGAUUCAGCUUAUUUGGAUAGAGUUUUGGAGGAAGGCGUCACUAAAGCUGGAGGGAUAGCAGAUGCCACUCUCAAUAAUGUAUUCCAGGCAAUGGGAUUCCUGCAGAGAUGAGCAGAAUUGAUGCUAGAGGAAGAAUUUAUAUGAAAAGUUCCACAAGACAGCAACAUUAAAGUUGGCUUUUGGAGGAUCUAUCAUUGCCCACAAUUAUUUGGAGCACGCAAGAGCAUAUAUUUGUAAGUGAAUGGGAUAAGUAUGUGGAAGGCCCAGCAAUUUCUUUCCUUGAUACAGCUGCCUCUACCUAUAGCAUCAAGACAGGUGCCUCUUUUAUUCUCUGUUGAUUAAUGAACUUGCUAAUUUUAUGUGACGCGUUUUUUCCACUCUAUUUAUUGUGCAAUAUACUGGUAAUCUUAUGUUGAUUUUAUUUUCUUUCUUCACAUUAAGCUAUUUGAUCUAAAUUGAUUGUUGGAUGAAAAUUUGUUUUACCAUUUUGCUUA